CUUCUCUUGUUUAAUUUAGUGGACUUUCGUGUUUGUUGAAAGUUUGGAAAGUUCAUCUGAAAAUCACAAUGUUUCUUUCAAUGUUGAUUCUGGAUGUAAUUUGAGAUAAAAACCAAUUCAGUGAUCAAUUGAAGUGUGCAAUACUUAUAAAAUUAGCACUGUUAGAACUGCCUCAUUGUUUAAUAGUCCUGUCUUAUUUAUCCCAGCACACUCUUAAUACAUGAGUUUGAUUAUUCCUGGAUACAAAUGAAAUGGAUUUGUUGAGGAACGAGGCAGUUUUAUACAGUACUGACUUAUAGGAGGGUUGUGUUCUUCGGUUGUUUUUUUAAUCUUAUGCCAACCAUAUUGUGGUUUUCAACAAAAUUUGAAUUUCGAAAACAAACUUUGUGAUUUUUACAAAAAACUUUUCCAACUUUAAAAUAAACAGGGUCGAAAUAAGCUAGGAUAUUGUAUUUACUUCAUUACAAAGUGGAACUUAUUGGAAUAUGGAUGAACUGAAGCAGCAAACUACACUUUUUUUUUUUGGGGGGGUGGUGGGGAGGUAAUGUGAGAUUGAAAAAAUGAAAGAAUAUUGAUUGCCAUGUAUGGCAAGGAAAACCACAAACAGACUACACAAUGAUGUUGUCUGUUUUGUAUUAUAGGGAAGGGAAAAAAAUCGGCAUUCAAAAGUAUAUAUUAAUUGUUUGGUAAAGCAAUACAAUAAUUAAUUGGAAUAUUGAGGCUGAAGAUAAGAUUGACAGUACUUUGUGCUAGGCGUUAAUCAAAUGCAUAAUUUGAUAAGAUUUGAAUCAAAAUUCAAGCACAGAAUUAACCAUAUUUUCAGUACUUAUCAAAAUUUGUGUGUAUUUCUUCUCAAAUUCAUUAAUAAUUCAUGAGUAAUUCAGCCAAUGAUAAUCACC
rnacentral:lncRNA from 1 species